rnacentral:rRNA from 1 species
CCUACGGGAGGCAACAGUGAGGAAUAUUGGACAAUGGGCGCAAGCCUGAUCCAGCCAUGCCGCGUGCAGGAUGACGGUCCUAUGGAUUGUAAACUGCUUUUGUACAGGAAGAAACACUGGUUCGUGAACCAGCUUGACGGUACUGUAAGAAUAAGGAUCGGCUAACUCCGUGCCAGCAGCCGCGGUAAUACGGAGGAUCCAAGCGUUAUCCGGAAUCAUUGGGUUUAAAGGGUCCGUAGGCGGUUUAGUAAGUCAGUGGUGAAAGCCCAUCGCUCAACGGUGGAACGGCCAUUGAUACUGCUAGACUUGAAUUAUUAGGAAGUAACUAGAAUAUGUAGUGUAGCGGUGAAAUGCUUAGAGAUUACAUGGAAUACCAAUUGCGAAGGCAGGUUACUACUAAUUGAUUGACGCUGAUGGACGAAAGCGUGGGUAGCGAACAGGAUUAGAUACCCUGGUAGUCCACGCCGUAAACGAUGGAUACUAGCUGUUGGAAGCAAUUUCAGUGGNGUAGACGAAGUAGAGUAAGUAAGUACCACCGUCGGGAGGUAACGGUUCGUCGAAGAAGUAGUUAAACGUUAAAGUUAAGUUAAGUUAGUUACGGCGUUGAGACGUUAGCCGACGGACGACGACCGAGGGGAGGUUAGGAGG